UGGGGAAUAUUGCACAAUGGGGGGAAACCCUGAUGCAGCGACGCCGCGUGAGCGAAGAAGUAUUUCGGUAUGUAAAGCUCUAUCAGCAGGGAAGAAAAAAUGACGGUACCUGACUAAGAAGCACCGGCUAAAUACGUGCC
rnacentral:rRNA from 1 species